rnacentral:rRNA from 1 species
UGCCCCAGUAACGGCGAGUGAAGCGGCAACAGCUCAAAUUUGAAAUCUGGCCCCCCCAGGGCCCGAGUUGUAAUUUGCAGAGGAUGCUUUUGGCGAGGUGCCUUCCGAGUUCCCUGGAACGGGACGCCAUAGAGGGUGAGAGCCCCGUCUGGUUGGACGCCAAGCCUCUAUAAAGCUCCUUCGACGAGUCGAGUAGUUUGGGAAUGCUGCUCUAAAUGGGAGGUAUAUGUCUUCUAAAGCUAAAUACCGGCCAGAGACCGAUAGCGCACAAGUAGAGUGAUCGAAAGAUGAAAAGCACUUUGAAAAGAGGGUUAAAUAGUACGUGAAAUUGUUGAAAGGGAAGCGCUCAUGACCAGACUUGAGCCCGGUGAAUCACCCAGCGUUCUCGCUGGUGCACUUUGCCGAGCUCAGGCCAGCAUCAGUCUGCCCCGGGGGACAAAGGCUUCGGGAAUGUGGCUCCCUCGGGAGUGUUAUAGCCCGCUGCACAAUACCCUGGGGCGGACUGAGGUUCGCGCUCCUGCAAGGAUGCUGGCGUAAUGGUCAUCAGCGACCCGUCUUGAAACACGGACCAAGGAGUCGUCUUCGUAUGCGAGUGUUCGGGUGCAAAACCCCUACGCGUAAUGAAAGUGAACGCAGGUGAGAGCUUCGGCGCAUCAUCGACCGAUCCUGAUGUUCUCGGAUGGAUUUGAGUAGGAGCAUACGGGGCCGGACCCGAAAGAAGGUGAACUAUGCCUGUAUAGGGUGAAGCCAGAGGAAACUCUGGUGGAGGCUCGCAGCGGUUCUGACGUGCAAAUCGAUCGUCAAAUAUGGGCAUGGGGGCGAAAGACUAAUCGAACCUUCUAGUAGCUGG